AUUGACUUGGCAGAAGAAAUGCGAUUGAUUUAGGAUCAAUUUAUAAUAUAUAUUAAUAUUAGUC
rnacentral:tRNA from 1 species